GAUGAACGCUGGCGGCGUGCCUAAUACAUGCAAGUCGAGCGAAUGGAUUAAGAGCUUGCUCUUAUGAAGUUAGCGGCGGACGGGUGAGUAACACGUGGGUAACCUGCCCAUAAGACUGGGAUAACUCCGGGAAACCGGGGCUAAUACCGGAUGACAUUUUGAACCGCAUGGUUCGAAAUUGAAAGGCGGCUUCGGCUGUCACUUAUGGAUGGACCCGCGUCGCAUUAGCUAGUUGGUGAGGUAACGGCUCACCAAGGCAACGAUGCGUAGCCGACCUGAGAGGGUGAUCGGCCACACUGGGACGGAGACACGGCCCAGACUCCUACGGGAGGCAGCAGUAGGGAAUCUUCCGCAAUGGACGAAAGUCUGACGGAGCAACGCCGCGUGAGUGAUGAAGGCUUUCGGGUCGUAAAACUCUGUUGUUAGGGAAGAACAAGUGCUAGUUGAAUAAGCUGGCACCUUGACGGUACCUAACCAGUAAGCCACGGCUAACUACGUGCCAGCCGCCGCAGUAA
rnacentral:rRNA from 1 species